rnacentral:misc_RNA from 1 species
UAUUCUUCGAAUGUUCUAGAA